GUAGUCUGCAACCCGACUACAUGAAGCUGGAAUCGCUAGUAAUCGCGGAUCAGAAUGCCGCGGUGAAUACGUUCCCGGGUCUUGUACACACCGCCCGUCACACCAUGGGAGCCGGGAAUGCCCGAAGUCGGUGACCUAACCGAAAGGGAGGAGCCGCCGAAGGCAGGGUCUGGUAACUGGGGUGAAGUCGUAACAAGGUACC
rnacentral:rRNA from 1 species